GCGGGUGUAGUUCAUUGGUAGAACGCGACCUUCCCAAGGUUGAGAGGCGAGUUCGAUUCUCGUCACCCGCUCCA
rnacentral:tRNA from 1 species